GCAGCGGUACGCCGGCCGGGUGGCGACGGUCUGAGGAACCGUCCGGGGGGGACGCCGGUCCGGUGGCGGUCUGCCGCA
rnacentral:tRNA from 1 species